rnacentral:rRNA from 1 species
GACGAACCGUGCGAACGUUGUUCGGAAUCACUGGGCUUAAAGGGCGCGUAGGCGGGCUGCCGCGUCCGGGGUGAAAUCCUCCCGCUCAACGGGAGAACGGCCUCGGAUACGGGCGGCCUCGAGGGGGGUAGGGGCAUCUGGAACUGUGAGUGGAGCGGUGAAAUGCGUAGAGAUCGGAAAGAACACCAACGGCGAAAGCACUCUGCUGGGCCGACACUGACACUGAGAGACGAAAGCUAGGGGAGCGAAUGGG